CUAAAUAAAUUUAAAAGAUGAAGGCCUUAAACUCAAACUCAAAAAAUUGUUACCAAAUAUAAGUAAAUCUAAAAAAGAGUGAAAAUUAAUUUGCUCAUCUCUAAAACCCUAGUCGACGCUUAUCUUUUUCCCUUCUUUUCUGACCACCACAUGAGAAAAUACAAUCAUAUUCUUUUCUGACCACCACAUGAGAAAAUACAAUCAUAUUCACACUCUCCUUCCAUCAGAUCUAGACCAAUUGUAGACCAUUUGAAGCUUUUGAUUUCG
rnacentral:lncRNA from 1 species